rnacentral:rRNA from 1 species
GAUGAACGCUAGCAGUAUGCCUUAUACAUGCAUGUCGAACGAAGUGCUUUAUGCACUUAGUGGCAAAUGGGUGAGUAAUCUAUAGCUAACCUACCCUAAAGAGGGGGAUAAUUAAUGGAAACGUUUUGUAAUACCCUAUACCUCUUAUCUACACAAGUAUAUAAGAGAAAACUUUAGUGCUUUAGGAUGGGGCUGUAUUGUAUCAGCUAGUUGGUGGUGUAAUGGACCACCAAGGCUAUGACGCAUAACUGGUUUGAGAGGAUGAUCAGUCACACUGGAACUGAGACACGGUCCAGACUCCUACGGGAGGCAGCAGUGGGGAAUAUUGCACAAUGGGGGAAACCCUGAUGCAGCAACACCGCGUGGAGGAAGACACUUUUCGGAGCGUAAACUCCUUUUAUAUCCCAAGAUAAUGACGGUAGGAUAUGAAUAAGCACCGGCUAACUCCGUGCCAGCCGCCGCGGUAAU